ACAAUGGAGAGUUUGAUCCUGGCUCAGGAUGAACGCUAGCGGCAGGCCUAAUACAUGCAAGUCGGACGGGAUCCAUCGGAGAGCUUGCUCGAAGAUGGUGAGAGUGGCGCACGGGUGCGUAACGCGUGAGCAACCUACCUCUAUCAGGGGGAUAGCCUCUCGAAAGAGAGAUUAACACCGCAUAACAUCAACAGUUCGCAUGUUCGGUUGAUUAAAUAUUUAUAGGAUAGAGAUGGGCUCGCGUGACAUUAGCUAGUUGGUAGGGUAACGGCUUACCAAGGCGACGAUGUCUAGGGGCUCUGAGAGGAGAAUCCCCCACACUGGUACUG
rnacentral:rRNA from 1 species